rnacentral:tRNA from 1 species
GGGUAGGUGGCUCAGUGGUUAGAGCCUAGGCCUUGGGAGCGAAAGGUCACGGGUUCGAAUCUCGCAAGAGGCA